rnacentral:rRNA from 1 species
UACGGGGGGGCAAGCGUUGUUCGGAAUUACUGGGCGUAAAGGGCUCGUAGGUGGCCAACUAAGUCGGACGUGAAAUCCCUCAGCUUAACUGGGGAACUGCGUCCGAUACUGGAUGGCUCAAGUUUGGGAGAGGGAUGCGGAAUUCCAGGUGUAGCGGUGAAAUGCGUAGAUAUCUGGAGGAACACCGGUGGCGAAGGCGGCAUUCUGGACCAACACUGACACUGAGGAGCGAAAGCCAGGGGAGCAAACGGG